rnacentral:rRNA from 1 species
UACGGAGGAUCCGAGCGUUAUCCGGAUUUACUGGGUGUAAAGGGCGCGUAGGCGGGGAUGCAAGUCAGAUGUGAAAUCUAUGGGCUCAACCCAUAAACUGCAUUUGAAACUGUAUUUCUUGAGUACUGGAGAGGUAGACGGAAUUCCUUGUGUAGCGGUGAAAUGCGUAGAUAUAAGGAAGAACACCAGAGGCGAAGGCGGUCUACUGGACAGCAACUGACGCUGAGGCGCGAAAGCGUGGGGAGCAAAC